rnacentral:tRNA from 1 species
GGGGCUGUAGCUCAAAUGGUAGAGCGCUCGCUUAGCAUGCGAGAAGUACGGGGAUCGAUACCCCGCAGCUCCA